GUGAGACACCAGAUCCUCCAUGCGGCAACCACACUCAUCUUUUCCAGUGAAAGAAAGGCCAGCAUCUUCAAAUUGCUACACCAUAACAGGAUUCACCUCAUAUCUAUGACGUGCCUCUCAUCUACAAAGCUCUGGUUGCCAAAUAGUAUUGCAGGUUCAGAAUUUUUUACUUGAAAAUACAUUCUUAUUAAUCCAAGACAUAUGGUACCACCCAUAUGUGUGAUUGAACCCUGUGAACAUGAUCUACAGGUUAAUGUAAAAC
rnacentral:misc_RNA from 1 species